CAUGUAUGAUGAUUCACUGGUAAUGCUGCAGACUUGGGGAAGACAGCCAACCUUGGAGAUCUGAGUGUGAG
ensembl:snoRNA SNORD39 Small nucleolar RNA SNORD55/SNORD39